rnacentral:rRNA from 1 species
UGAGGAAUAUUGGUCAAUGGGCGGGAGCCUGAACCAGCCAAGCCGCGUGAGGGAAGACGGCCCUACGGGUUGUAAACCUCUUUUGCCGGGGGACAAACUGCGCCACGCGUGGCGCACUGAGUGUACCCGGAGAAAAAGCAUCGGCUAACUCCGUGCCAGCAGCCGCGGUAAUACGGAGGAUGCGAGCGUUAUCCGGAUUUAUUGGGUUUAAAGGGUGCGUAGGCGGUUCGGUAAGUCAGCGGUCAAAUGUCGGGGCUCAACCCCGGCCUGCCGUUGAGACUGUCGGGCUGGAGAGAGCGAGAAGUACGCGGAAUGCGCGGUGUAGCGGUGAAAUGCAUAGAUAUCGCGCAGAACUCCGAUUGCGAAGGCAGCGUACCGGCGCUUAUCUGACGCUGAGGCACGAAAGCGUGGGGAUCGAACAGG